rnacentral:rRNA from 1 species
UUGGAGGGCAAGUCUGGUUGCCACGCAGCCGCGGUAAUUCCAGCUCCAAUAGCGUAUAUUAAAGUUGUUGUGGUUAAAAAGCUCGUAGUUGAACCUUGGGCCUGGCUGGCCGGUCCGCCUCACCGCGUGUACUGGUCCGGCCGGGCCUUUCCCUCUGUGGAACCCCAUGCCCUUCACUGGGUGUGGCGGGGAAACAGGACUUUUACUGUGAAAAAAUUAGAGUGCUCCAGGCAGGCCUAUGCUCGAAUACAUUAGCAUGGAAUAAUAGAAUAGGA